UAUAUAAUUUGAAUUUAAAAUUUUAUUUAUUUUAUUUUUAUUUUAUUUCUGUUAUUAAAAAUAUUUUAUGGUUUUAUUAAUUUAUUGAAAAAAUUUAUUUUAUGAUAGUAAAUAGUAUUGUGAAAGAUAUUUUUGAAAUUUAGAAAAGUAGGAUUAAAUUUUUGUACCUUGUGUAUCAGGGUUUAUUAAAUAUAGUUUAAGGUUAAGUUUCCCGAAUUUAAAAGAGUUUAAAGUUUAAAGUUUUUAUUGUAGAAAAAAUAUUAAUAAUAUAUUUUAAGAAAUGAAAUGUUAGUCGAUUUUAAAUAUAUCUGGUUUUUUAAGAAAAAUUUUAAUUUAAUUUUUUUUUUAAUAUUUUUUAUUAGUAUUUAUUUAUUUAUUAAAAAAAGUUUAAAUUACAGGGGAUGAGCUUUGUAAUAAUUUUAUAUAAUAUUUAUUUUUAUUAAUUUUUUAGUAGAAUUAGAAGUUUUUAUCUUUAUAUAGUAUUAUAACUAUUAUUUUUAUUUUAAAUUUUUAUAUUUUAUAUUUAUAUCAUUUAUUAAAAUUUUUAAUUUAAUUAUUAAUUUGAAUUAAUUUUGAUAAUAUUAGUAUAAUUUAUUUUUAUAAAUUUAGUUGUAAAGAAGUUAGAUAUUAUAAAGGAAUUUGGCAAAAAUUUUUUUACCUGUUUAUUAAAAACAUGGCCUUUUGUAAAAAUUUUAAGGUCUAGUCUGCCCAAUGAGGUUUUGAAUGGCUGCAGUAUUUUGACUGUGCUAAGGUAGCAUAAUCAUUAGUUUCUUAAUUAGAAGCUUGUAUGAAAGGCUGGAUAAAAAAAAAUCUGUCUCUAUAAUAAAUAAUUAGAAUUUAAUUUUUAAGUUAAAAAGCUUAAAUUUUAAUGAAAGACGAGAAGACCCUAUAGAGUUUAACAUAUUUUUAGAUAUUUUUUUUUAUAUUUAGAAUUUAAUAUUUUUAUAUUUAAGUUUGUUUAGUUGGGGUGAUUGAAAAAUUAAGUUAACUUUUAUUGAAUAAGACAUUGAUUAGUGAAUAAAAGAUCCUUUAAAAGAUAAAAGAUUAAAUUACCUUAGGGAUAACAGCGUAAUUUCUUUUUAGAGCUCUAAUCGAAAAAGAAGAUUGCGACCUCGAUGUUGGAUUAAAAUAUAUUUUUGGUGUAGUAGCUAUAAAAUUAGGUCUGUUCGACCUUUAAAAUUUUACAUGAUCUGAGUUUAGACCGGCGUGAGCCAGGUUGGUUUCUAUCUUUAUUUUGAUAAUAAAUUUUAGUACGAAAGGACCAAAUGUAUAUUAAAUUAAUUUAAUUUAAGAUUUAAAUUAUUAUUUUGGCAGAUUAGUGCAAUAGAUUUAGAAUCUUUAUAAGUAAAAAUUUUUAC
rnacentral:rRNA from 1 species